rnacentral:rRNA from 1 species
CCAGGGAGUUUUAUAUGAUCGCGAGUCAAAGGGCCUUACGAAACCCCACGGGCGUAAUUAAUGUGAAGGUUUACUUCGGUAAACUUAGAUGUGACCUCAUGGAAACAUAGAGUGCAACAUCGACCCGUCUAAAGAUGUUCGCAUCUGGGCGGAGUUUGAGCGAUCAUGUAGAGACCCGAAAGAUGGUGAACUAUGCUUGUGCAGGUUGAAGCCAGAGGAAACUCUGGUGGAGGACCGCCGCGGUUCUGACGUGCAAAUCGAUYGUCGGACAUGAGUAUAGGGGCGAAAGACUAAUCGAACCAUCUAGUAGCUGGUUCCCUCCGAAGUUUCCCUCAGGAUAGCUGGCAUUUGUUGUUGUAGUUUAACCCGGUAAAGCGAAUGAUUAGAAGUAUUGGGGAUGAAAUAUUCUCAACUUAUUCUCAAACUUUAAAUGGGUUCGAAGUGUGUCUUUCUUCAUUGAAGAUGUGCAUCGAAUACGAGUGCCUAGUGGGCCAUUUUUGGUAAGCAGAACUGGCGAUGUGGGAUGAACCAAACAUCUGGUUAAGGUGCCUAACAUGACGCUCAUGAGAACCCAAAAAAGGUGUAGUUUGAUAAAGACAGCAGGACGGUGGACAUGGAAGUYGUCAUCCGCUAAGGAGUGUGUAACAACUCACCUGCCGAAUCAAGCAGCCCUGAAAAUGGAUGGCGCUGUAGCGUUGGACCUAUACCGGAUCGAUAUCGUAAGUUUACAAAACGAGUAAACGAUAUUGUGUAGGAGGGUGCUGUGGUUGCUAAGAAGCUAGCUGGCGUAAGUCAGAGUGGAGCGGUCAAGACGGGUACAGAUCUUGGUAGGUAACCUACAUAAACACUGCGGAUUUUAGAAUGACUUACCAACAAUUCAUCACAUCGACUAUCUAAAC